rnacentral:tRNA from 1 species
GGAGAGAUGCUGGAGCGACUGACCGAACCUGUCCCGAAAACGGGAGUAGGGCAACGCUACCGGGGGUUCAAAUCCCCCCGUCUCUCUA